rnacentral:rRNA from 1 species
AUACGUAGGGUGCGAGCGUUAAUCGGAAUUACUGGGCGUAAAGCGUGCGCAGGUGGCUUUGUAAGUCAGAUGGGAAAGCCCCGGGCUCAACCUGGGAACUGCGUUUGAAACUACAAGACUAGAGUGUGGCAGAGGGGGGUGGAAUUCCGCGUGUAGAAGUGAAAUGCGUAGAGAUGUGGAGGAACACCGAUGGCGAAGGCAGCCCCCUGGGUCAACACUGACGCUCAGGCACGAAAGCAUGGGGAGCAAACAGCAUUAGAAACACUAGUAGUCC